AGUCGAACGGAGAUUAUACGCAGAGGCGAUUUCGGUCAAAUCAUGUAAAAUCUUAGUGGCGGACGGGUGAGUAACGCGUGGGUAACCUGCCUUACACUGGGGGAUAACACUUAGAAAUAGGUGCUAAUACCGCAUAAGCGCACGAAGCCGCAUGGAUUUGUGUGAAAAACUCCGGUGGUGUAAGAUGGACCCGCGUCUGAUUAGCUUGUUGGCGGGGUAACGGCCCACCAAGGCGACGAUCAGUAGCCGGCCUGAGAGGGUGGACGGCCACAUUGGGACUGAGACACGGCCCAAACUCCUACGGGAGGCAGCAGUGGGGGAUAUUGGACAAUGGGGGGAACCCUGAUCCAGCGACGCCGCGUGAGUGAAGAAGUAUUUCGGUAUGUAAAGCUCUGUCAGCAGGGAAGAAAGAAAUGACGGUACCUGACCAAGAAGCCCCGGCUAACUACGUGCCAGCAGCCGCGGUAAUACGUAGGGGGCAAGCGUUAUCCGGAAUUACUGGGUGUAAAGGGAGCGUAGACGGUUAAGUAAGUCUGGAGUGAAAGGCGGGGGCCCAACCCCCGGACUGCUCUGGGAACUGUCUAGCUAGAGUGCAGGAGGGGUAAGUGGAAUUCCUAGUGUAGCGGUGAAAUGCGUAGAUAUUAGGAGGAACACCAGUGGCGAAGGCGGCUUACUGGACUGUAACUGACGUUGAGGCUCGAAAGCGUGGGGAGCAAACAGGAUUAGAUACCCUGGUAGUCCACGCCGUAAACGAUGAUCACUAGGUGUCGGGUGUUAAGGAACGCUCGGUGCCGCAGCAAACGCAAUAAGUGAUCCACCUGGGGAGUACGUUCGCAAGAAUGAAACUCAAA
rnacentral:rRNA from 1 species